AUGAAUUGUCGACACGAGUUGUUGCUGGUCCCCAAACCGGGGGCAUGUGCACGCUCUGUUUACACAUCCACUCACACCUGUGCACCCUCUGUAGUUCUGUGGCCUGGGGGUCUCCGCCCUCUUGCCGUGGUUCUACGUCUUUACACACACACUGUAAUAAAGUCAUAUGGAAUGUAUGUCGCGUUUAACGCAAUACAAUA
rnacentral:misc_RNA from 1 species